UUUACUGUUCGUCAAAACAGGAAGUCAAAAGCAUACAUACUCUUCCUGUGAAUCUACACAGGAUUCAUCUGAACCCAAGUUGCAGCCCAGGAGCUACGGUUGAGCAUCAGAAUCUCCUGGGUUGUUUGUACAGGAUUCAGGCCUGAAUUUCAGUGGUGAAUAUCAACUAAGAAAAGCAGUAGAGUCCAUGAAAAAUUAAUAUUGCUAAAGAGAACCCCAGCCCCCACCCCAAACCCCGGGGCUACGACUCUGAAGAUUACUAUGAAAUGAUUUUGCAUGCUGUUCAGAUCCACACGGAAAGUUCCCAGAGCCGCCACUCACCAAGAAAGACCCAAGAUAGCCGGCUUAGAGAGCACAGGAGUCGAAAAGCAGCCUGGGAACAGACUGGGGGCUUGGAAUAUUCGGGAAAGAAUCCCCAGUACCUGGUGUCAAACAGCUUUGCUACCUGGAAGCUUGCUCCAUGGAUGACACCUGGGGGUACUCAUCUCCACUUCUUUUGUGACCUUCCAGGCUAAGAACAGAAUUCACAAAAGGCCUUUUUCACCAUUUGAACAAUGGCAUUUAAACUUCUAAUGCAGAAACUGAUGGCCCAACCUAUUAUUAUUAUUAUUUUUUAAUAGUUUAACAGAAGUCCAAGCGUGAUGCUUCCUGCCCCUAGUGAGCACUACCACAACGUCUUGGUAUGCACCUCCAGCUUCAAAGGAGAGCUGGGCCCAUGAUGUCACUUCCUCCAUCUGCCAAGUUGAUAACAGGAUGAACCUGAACGAGAUAGGAUCCAGACAUUCCACUGCAAAAUCGCUUAUUUCGGGCCCUUGUCAGGCAGGCGACUUGGGCGGACACAGUGAGGACCUCCUUGCACACCCCAGUGCGCUCUGCAGAGGGAACAAAGGUCUAAGGAUGGCGGUGGCGUGGGGCUCGCAGGCUCACACAGGCUAACGUGAGUCAUCCAGAGAAAGGGCUUUGGAAGCUGGUGCCUGUUACUGCCUGAAGCCAGCCUGUUUCUGAGCUGGAAUGUGAAGGCAGCUGGCAGUGUCAAAGGGGCAGAGAAUAAAGCCACAGUGUAAAAUGAAGACACAAUUCAGCAGAGAAGAUGCUAUUAAAAUGGGUUCUGCUCGCCCCCUGUCCACCCCACGGUCCCUUCAUUUGGAGGGCCCCCUUUGGGAACAAAUGGUUCUGUUCCUCUUCUUAAAAAAAAAAGGCGGGGGGAAUGCCUUUCAGAAAAAUGUUAUUGGACUCUUUUUAAAGGUUUCCAUUCGAAGGGAAUUAAAGGCAAUGUCAUAAGGCAGCGUCUAUACACUCAGGGGACAUUGCAUCCAGAGACACAAUGCAGGCGAAAUGAAGCUCUCAGUCCUUGGGAAGAAAUCUCAUAAGUCAAUCAGUCAGCUCCAGCCUCCUGUCACCUACAGUGAGCCGCUGGCCUCUUCAAGGAGGCUCCUUGCUGGGCCACCAGACAGCUGGGUGAGGCAGGCUGGGGAGAGGAGGACGUUGCCAGUGUGUUCCUCCCUCUCCUGCACAAUGCCCUUUUGUCCCUGGGCCCCCACCCCUGCAGGCAUGGCCUGAGUUGGCAAUUGUCAGGGAGCAGCUCAGCUCCCAGGCCUGUGCACGCAGGAGCCAUGUGGGGUGAGCCUCCUCGGCAGCCUGGGACCCAAGCUGGCAGGUUCUGGAAAGACGGCCACUGUUCUCAACUCGGGUCUGUUGCUGAGGGUGGCUGUCACUUGCCAUGUGUGGCUGGUGUCUGAAGGCAGGAAGGAGGAACACAGGUCACUUGAAGGGCAGCAGAGAAAGCACAGGGGCUGGAGGUGGGGGGCUGAGUGGGCAUGGCUGACUCCGUCAUCAAAUUCACUGAGCAAGCCUUGGCAAGUCACCUACCCUCCCUUGGUUCCUUCUGCUCUGGGAAGUUAGAAUCUUGGGGAUGACUACCCAAGACUCUGUCAAGUUUAGUGUAUGAAACCCUCAAUAAUAGCUGAGGGGAGGUGAGACAGGAAACACAGGGGGCUUGCAAGUCAGAGGGGCCUCAGCUGAAUCUUGACAUCAUCACCAUGAGAUUGUGUUCAAGUUAUAAAGCUCCCAGGAGACGAUGCAGGUGAAAUGAAGCUCUCAAAUCUUGGAAGGACAUCUCACAGGCCUAUCAGCUCUAGCCUCCUGUCACCUCUAGUGGGGCUCCAGUCUCCUCCAAGAGGUUCCUUGCUUCGAGGUGAAACAGGGGAGUGAGGCAGGCUGGGGAGAGGAAGAAACAGAAAACAUUUUCUUUUUGAAAAAAAUAUUGGGUCAACUUAUAUUUACCAUACAAAAAUGUUGUGAAUUUAACGACCCCUGAUAGAGUCUGGAACCACAUGUGGCACACAAUAUUUGGAGGACAUCAGCUUCCCUUGUCACCAGCCUAGUGUUGACUGUCAAAAGACAAAACCACAUGAUGUAAAUUCACAUCUGCCCAAGAGGCUUGAAAUUUAAAAAGAAAUUAUGUUGCAUUUUCACAUCAUAGGUUCUAGAACAGUUCAAUUUUAGAGAUAAAGUUGAAAAAAAAAAUCAGAAUUGUUUGCAAGGUAGGAUUUUCUUGCCAAGUAAAUUUGUUUAUACACAGGUCUCAUUUUUCUCUCAUUAUCAUUUAAAAAAAGAUAAAUGCCACAAGGACUAAUCAAUCUUUACUAGAAAAGAACACUUGUCCCUAAACUGACAUAUAGAGAUCACACAUGUAUUUUUGUUACACGCAAAAUGUCUAUGAAAUUGUUUUCUCUUUUCCUUCUAUUUAUAAUUGAUUGCAGAAGUGUGAGAUUUGACCCUGUUCUGCUUCCAAUGUGGGGCUGGAACUACUGUCUUUAGGAAUAAAACUGGUUUCUCUGGGUACCCUUAUGUGCUCAUAUAUAAA